ensembl:snRNA U7 U7 small nuclear RNA
AAGUAUUACAGCUCUUUGAGAAUCUGUUUAGCAGGUUUUCACCAGAAAACUCUC